AUGGCCUACCUCAAGAUGCUGUGCCCAAACCGAGUGUUUAGGAGAUCAAAGUCUAAAAUCAAGAUGCUGCUGAGGCUGCAUUCCUUCUGGAGGUUUCAGGGGAGAAUUGUUUCCUCGUCUUUCUCACCAUCUAAAAGGCUAUUGCUGGAAGAUCUCUUCCAUUGGAAAGUCACCCAAAACGUGUAGGUAUAUGUUUGAAUUUCACUUAAUAGAUGUCAUUCUUAAAGUAAAAUCUAAACAUUUAAUUACAUUAUACUUCCUUAGUAUAUGCAAAUAUUUAUCUGCCCUUUCUUAAAAUUUCUAUAAUUCUGUGCAUAGAAUGAAUUUAUUUUAUGGUAAAGCUGACGCCAAUUAGCCUAUGUGUAUGUUAGGUACUGACUCUAUUAAGUCAAGGAGUGAAAACAGGCGAAGAGAGUAUAAAUAGAAGGUCCUUUAACCUACAUAAAAUAACACAAGUCAUUGGGAAGGGUACACAUCUCCUAGAACAACAUUAGAAAUAAUUAACAUCUCUCAGUGGAGCUGUACAAUAGCAAUAAACGCAAUCAUUCACUUUACUGAAAAUACUUGUGUGAAACAAAUAUUCAUCAUGUAUGUAUAUUUUAGAUCAGAGUGAUCUAACCAAUGAAACUAAUUUAUUUUGUUAAAAGCCUCUUUGAUUUACUCUGUGGUUGUGGAAGGAUGGAAGUCAUUCAAAUGGAAAUGCUCAAAGGGUGAAGAAAUCUAAUAAUGUGUCAUAAAUAUAAUAAAAAAGGUAAAUUUAAUCAGGCCAGGUGCAGUGGCUCACACCUGUGAUAUCAGCCCUUUGGGAGGUGGAGACAGAAGGACUACUUUAGGCCAGGAGCUUGAGACCUGCCUGGGCAACAAAGUAAGACAACACCUGUACAGAAAAAUUUAAAAAUUAGCUGGGAGUGUUGGCACGUGUCUGUAGUCCCAGCUACUUAGGAGACUGAGGUGACAGGAUCAUUUGAACCCAGGAAUUUGAGACUGCAGUGAGCUAUGAUUGUGCCACUGCACUCCAGCCUGGGUGACAGAGUGAGACUUUAUCUCCAAAAAUUAAACAAAAGAAAGAGAAACAAAGAUCGAGGGAAGGAAGGAAGGCUAUUAAGACCAGCCUGUUGCUGCCUGAAUUAUUGAUAAUCUGAUGAUAUCAUUUUAAGCUUUUCAGAAAUUCCCGUAUUUGUGGACAUUGGUGAUACAUUGUUCAUACUUCCAAACAUAACAUUUGAAAUUAAUUUUAAAAAUAACUGAAAUCACAUUUUAUAUCUAUGAGACAGAAAAAGUCUGAUUGAAAGUAAAGCUUUAAUUUAAAAAUUUCA
rnacentral:lncRNA from 1 species